AAUAGAUACCCGGUAGUCCACGCUGUAAACGAUGUCGAUUUGGAGGUUGUGCCCUUGAGGGCGUGGCUUCCGGAGCUAACGCGUUAAAUCGACCUCCUGGGGAGUACGGCCGCAAGGUUAAAACUCAAAUGAAUUGACGGGGGCCCGCACAAGCGGUGGAGCAUGUGGUUUAAUUCGAUGCAACGCGAAGAACCUUACCUGGUCUUGACAUCCACAGAACUUAGCAGAGAUGCUUUGGUGCCUUCGGGAACUGUGAGACAGGUGCUGCAUGGCUGUCGUCAGCUCGUGUUGUGAAUGUUGGGUUAAGUCCCGCAACGAGCGCAACCCUUAUCCUUUGUUGCCAGCGGUCCGGCCGGGAACUCAAAGGAGACUGCCAGUGAUAAACUGGAGGAAGGUGGGGAUGACGUCAAGUCAUCAUGGCCCUUACGACCAGGGCUACACACGUGCUACAAUGGCAUAUACAAAGAGAAGCGACCUCGCGAGAGCAAGCGGACCUCAUAAAGUAUGUCGUAGUCCGGAUUGGAGU
rnacentral:rRNA from 1 species